rnacentral:misc_RNA from 1 species
CCGAGUUACCCAACUCCAAACCUUUUGUGAACAUACCGUCGUUGCUUCGGCGGGCGGCUCCGGGGGGAGCCCCCAGGCCCAUCGCGGUGCCCGCCGGAAGCCCAGACUCGUUUUUCCGUACAGCGGUCUCAGCGUCUGAGUGGAACAAAAAAAACAAAGUA